GCGUACGUAGGCGGGUUGUUAAGUUAGAGGUGAAAUCCCAGGGCUCAACCCUGGAACUGCCUUUAAUACUGCUAGUCUUGAGUUCGAGAGAGGUGAGUGGAAUUCCGAGUGUAGAGGUGAAAUUCGUAGAUAUUCGGAGGAACACCAGUGGCGAAGGCGGCUCACUGGCUCGAUACUGACGCUGAGGUGCGAAAGUGUGGGGAGCAAACAGGAUUAGAUACCCUGGUAGUCCACACCGUAAACGAUGAGAGCUAGUUGUCUGCAGGCAUGCCUGUAGGUGACGCAGCUAACGCAUUAAGCAUUCCGCCUGGGAAGUACGGCCGCAAGGCUAAAACUCAAAUGAAUUGACGGGGACCCGCACAAGCGGUGGAUCAUGUGGUUUAAUUCGAAGCAACGCGCAGAACCUUACCAACCCUUGACAUCCUGAUCGCGGUUACCAGAGAUGGUUUCCUUCAGUUCGGCUGGAUCAGUGACAGGUGCUGCAUGGCU
rnacentral:rRNA from 1 species